rnacentral:rRNA from 1 species
GUUGAACGCUGGCUGCAGGCCUAACACAUGCAAGUCGAACGAGUGGCGCACGGGUGAGUAAUGUCUGUGUAACUCCCCGAUGGAGGGGGAUAACUACUGGAACCGGUAACUAAUACCGCAUACCAUCGAAUGUACCCAGAUGGGAUUAGCUAGUCGGUGGGGUAACGGCUCACCUAGGCGACGAUCCCUAGCUGGUCUGAGAGGAUGACCAGCCACACUGGAACUGAGACAAGGUCCAGACGCCUAAGGGAGGCAGCAGUGGGGAAUAUUGCACAAUGGGCGCAAGCCUGAUGAAGCCAUGCCGCGUGUAUGAAGAAGGGCUUCGGGUUGUAAAGUACUUUCAGCGAGGAGGCGGUACUCGCAGAAGAAGCACCGGCUAACUCCGUGCCAGCAGCCGCGGUAAUUC